CAGUCGCCGCGGGAAUACGGAGGGUGCAAGCGUUAAUCGGAAUUACUGGGCGUAAAGCGUGCGUAGGCGGUUCGUUAAGUCUGUUGUGAAAGCCCCGGGCUCAACCUGGGAAUGGCAAUGGAUACUGGCGAGCUAGAGUGUGUCAGAGGAUGGUGGGAUUCCCGGUGUAGCGGUGAAAUGCGUAGAGAUCGGGAGGAACAUCAGUGGCGAAGGCGGCCAUCUGGGACAACACUGACGCUGAGGCACGAAAGCGUGGGGAGCAAACAGGAUUAGAUACCCGCGUAGUCCCUGUCUCUUAACA
rnacentral:rRNA from 1 species